rnacentral:rRNA from 1 species
CAGGUAGUAGGUGGUGUAACGGACCACCUAGCCUAAGACGGGUACGGGCCUUGAGAGAGGGAGCCCGGAGAUGGGUUCUGAGACACGAACCCAGGCCCUACGGGGCGCAGCAGGCGCGAAACCUUCGCACUGCGCGAAAGCGCGACGAGGGGAGCCCGAGUGUCUCUCCAUUUCGGGGAGGCUUUUCACAAGCCUAAAAAGCUUGUGGAAUAAGGGCUGGGCAAGACGGGUGCCAGCCGCCGCGGUAAUACCCGCAGCUCGAGUGGUGGUCGCUUUUAUUGAGCCUAAAACGUUCGUAGUCGGCCUUGUAAAUCCCUGGGUAAAUCGGACCGCUUAACGGUUCGAAUUCCGGGGAGACUGCAAGGCUAGGGACCGGGCGAGGUCAGAGGUACUUUCGGGGUAGGAGUGAAAUCCUGUAAUCCCGAAGGGACCACCUGUGGCGAAAGCGUCUGACUUGAACGGCUCCGACGAUGAGGAACGAAGGCUAGGGGAGCAAACCGGAUUAGAUAUCCGGGUAGUCCUAGCUGUAAACUCUGCCCGCUUGGUGUGGCCUGUCCUUCGGGGGCAGGCUGUGCCGGAGCGAAGGUGUUAAGCGGGCUGCUUGGGGAGUACGGCUGCAAGGUUGAAACUUAAAAGAAUUGGCGGGGGAGCACCGCAACGGGAGGAUGCGUGCGGUUUAAUGGAUCAACGCCGG